GAAGAAAAUCUCAAUACUAUUUCUGAAUCACAAUUUACCCUAUUCAGCAACAAUAUUCCUCUGCUUUCUUUACAGAAGAGUCCAAGGGCUUCUUUCAUCAAGAUUUUAAUUUAGGUGCUCGUCAGGAUAUCAAUCCAAAAAGUAGAAAAAGAAGAGAGAGAAUUCCAGUAAAACCAACUCCUCAUAUAAAAUCCAAAUUAAAUCUGAAGGGGCAGGAAAAAAGUAAUCCCAUCAACACUAAGCUGAGACAAGGACAUCAUCAUGGAAAGUUAAGACUGCAUAGCUGUAAGUCACAAAUGAGAGUUACGCUAUGCCCAAAAGAUCCAAAAGGAGUACAGACAGCUGUGGGUCUAGAGUGCUGGAUAUGCCUUAGUGAAAGACAGUAUGGUCAGCAGCCCAGCAGAUGUGUUUUUCAUGGAUAAAGAUCCUCAGCUGGAGCAAGUUGGCACAAAUCCAAUUAAGCAGUUGUGAUGCCAAAACCUGCGCUCCUGGCGAAAUGCAUCAUGCAGUACAUCAAGGUGACAGAGGGACAUUCUAGAGGACAGAGGAGAUCUCCAAGGAAAGCCGAUGUCGCAAGAGAGGAGAAUAGUGACAGUGGUUCCAAAGAAUAAAGUUGUAUAUACUCUGAAGAUCCUCAAUAAUUGCACUGCAGUAUGAGCAAGAGAGAGAACAAGUGGCACACCCAAUGUGAGCUAACAGGAAUAACGGUAGAUUUCAUGGUCGUGACAUCACCACCAGUGACUUUUCUACAAACAAAGCUCUGAACAAAGGACUGAAUGACCCAUCCAAGCUGUGGAUGUAUUCCAGAGAGAUUUUAAAGCCAGCAAACUCACCAAUACUGCUAAGAACCUGAUAUAUGGACUUUGAAGUCUCUUUAUGUAUCUGAGUGCUUUAUCAUUGAACAACUUUCUUCUAGUUCUUUUUUCUCUAUA